CUGGGACAACACGCACUAGAGAGGAACAAACGGCUGAAGAGGAGCGGGGUGUCAGUGUUGACGAGGACAAGGCUGGAGACCACUCUGUCAUGCUGAUUGAGUUAGAAUAACAGACUGGAAGCUUUAAAAUGAGGGUGGUGCUUGAAGAAAGCUUCAGGACGCUGAAGAAAGUCCCGAAAGCGCCAGGACCAUCUCCUAAAGUCGAUUCAGCUCCAGGAACGGGGCACCACCAGUGCAGAGUUUGCUCAGGAAAGGCAGCAGGCAGUUGUGAGUGCAUCCGCAUGCACAGUGAGGCGAAGACUUUUGCAGGAUGGCCUGGUGUCAAGAAGGGCAGCAAAGAAGCCACUUCUCUCCAGGAAAAACCCAUCAGGGACAGACUGAUAUUCUGCAAAAGGUACAGGAAUUGAACUUCUGAGGACUGCGGGUAAAGUAAUUUUCUCUGAUGAAUCCCCUUUCCAAUCAAUUGUGGCAUCUGGAAAAAAAAACCUUGUCCAGAGAAAAAAAGGUGAGUGCUACCAUCAGUCCUGUGUCAUGCCAACAGUAAAGCAUCCUGAGACCAUUCAUGUGUGGGGUUGCUUCUGAGCCAAGGGAGUGGGCUCACUCACAAUUUUGCCUAAGAACACAGCCAUGAAUAAAGAAUGGUACAAAAGCAUACUCCAAGAGCAACUUCUCCCAACUAUCCAAGAACAGUUUGGUGAUGAAAAAUGCAUUUUCCAGCAUGAUGAUGCACCUUGCCAUAAGGCAAAAGUGAUAAUUAAGUGGCUUGGGCAACAAAACAUCAAAAUGUUGGGUCCAUGGCCAGAAAACUCCCCAGACCCUAAUCCCAUUGAGAACUUGUGGUCAAUCCUCAAGAGGUGGGUGAACAAACCCCCCCCCCAUUUCUAAAACACUCCAAGCAUUGAUUAUGCAAGAAUGGACUGCCAUCAGUCAGGAUGUGGCCCAGAAUUUGAUUGACAGCAUGCCAGGGUGAAUUGCAGAUGUCUUGUAAAAGGAGGGUCAACACUGCAAAUAUUGACUCUUUGCAUAAACUUAAUGUAAUUGUCAAUAAAAGCCUUUGACACUUAUGAAA